AUUUUUAAAAAUUUUGCUAAAUUUUCGGCUGCAAACUGCUAGCCUUCUUCUGAGCAAUGUGCCACAUUGGCCAAAAUGGCCCAAAGGCCACAUUGCUCAGAAGAAGGCUAGCAGUUUGCAGCCGAAAAUUUAGCAAAAUUUUUGAAAAAGUUUUUAACAUUAGAAUGUUUUUAAUU